CCAAGGGGCUUUACUUAAAUCGCACGUACCUUCACAAUUUCAGUUCCCAGCCGCUUUGCAGUUCCAACUUCCAACUUCCAAGGCUGAUGAGUCAGAAGGCGUGGAAGAACGAGGGUAGUAUCUCGGUAGCCGUCAUGGCUGAGGACGCCGCCGAGAGGGCCGGCGUUGAUCCUGGCUCUCCAACGGCAGGGGGACGCGCUCGACGUCAGGGCUGUAGCGGACGCCGUCGCCGACGGCGCAAAGGCGCGGCGCCACGGAAGCGGCGUCCGGGCGGCUCCACUACGCCAUGAGCCGCGCUGACGCCGACGUCUAUGCGUCCGCUGCCGCGGCAGGCGCGGUGGCGGCCACGCUCCACGCCGUGGCUAACUGCCUGACUACUACUAAAGCUGUAAGCAGUGCAGCGUACAGAUGUUGGCCGGACAAAGUGAUUUGGUUGUUGAAUCCUACGUACAUGCUAGCUUGCGUGUUGAUGCCACGACCGAGGAUUUUGUUUCCAGGGCGGAUCAGCGAUCGGUGUGCCUUGCCUUACGGACAGCCUACUCACGGGUCAGCGGGUAGCCAUGGCAAUGUCACCGGGAAAAUUGGACAGCGUCAAGUACAACUACAUUUUUAUAAUCCUGUUUGCCGUGGUGAUGGUGGUUUUAAUAAUCUCCAUCACAAUUAUGUGUCCUUAGCUUGUGGCCUUGUGUAUGAAUUUACUAACUAUUCGGUGCAUGUAUUAAGUUCACAAUGUUUUAUUCUAUAUGUUAACUUUGCAACUAUAUGUUUUCUAAUUCAUAAAUAUUGUAUCGAUACA